AAGUCGUAACAAGGUUUCCGUAGGUGAACCUGCGGAAGGAUCAUUACAAAUCUGUGGGGGGGGGAAAGCUUUUUCCCCACAUUGGCACGGGGUCUGCGGUCACGCGGGCCCUGAUGUUUACGCUUGCAUGUUUGACGGGUUCAGAGAGAGAAUGGGAACAAACGAUACAACUUUUAACAAUGGAUCUCUUGGCUCUU
rnacentral:misc_RNA from 1 species